rnacentral:rRNA from 1 species
AAUUCGAUUGAGUUUGAUCCUGGCUCAGGACGAACGCUGGCGGCGUGCCUAAUGCAUGCAAGUCGCACGGCGCCCUUUCGGGGGCGCAGUGGCGCACGGCUGAGUAGCCCGUGGGCAAUCUGCCCCGCUGUGGGGGACAACCCGCCGAAAGGCGGGCUAAUCCCGCAUACGUUCUGCGGAAGAAAGUCGGCGGCAACGCCGGCGCGGUGGGGGGAGCCUGCGUCCCAUCAGGUCGUUGGUGUGGUGACGGCGCACCAAGCCGGUGACGGGUCGCUGGUCUGAGAGGAUGACCAGCCAGACUGAGACUGAGACACGGCCCAGACUCCUACGGGAGGCAGCAGCAAGGGAUUUUCCCCAAUGGGCGCAAGCCUGAGGGAGCAACGCCGCGUGGUGGAUGACGGCCUUCGGGUUGUAAACACCUUUUAGGGGGGACGAUCAUGACGGUACCCUCUGAAUAAGCCCCGGCUAACUCCGUGCCAGCAGCUGCGGUAAGACGGAGGGGGCAAGCGUUGUCCGGACUUACUGGGCGUAAAGGGCGCGUAGGCGGCGCGUUGCGUUUGGGGUGAAAGCGCCCGGCUUAACCGGGUGCGGUCUCCAAAUACGGGCGCGCUUGAGGCGGUCAGAGGCUGGUGGAAUUCCCGGUGUAGUGGUGAAAUGCGUAGAGCUCGGGAGGAACACCGGUGCCGCAGGGGGCCAGCUGGGACCGUACUGACGCUGAGGCGCGAGAGCGUGGGGAGCGAACCGGAUUAGAUACCCGGGUAGUCCACGCCGUAAACGAUGAUGGCUCGGU